GAUGAACGCUAGCGGCAGGCCUAACACAUGCAAGUCGAGGGGUAGAGUUAGCUUGCUAACUUGAGACCGGCGCACGGGUGCGUAACGCGUAUGCAAUCUACCUUAUACAGGGGAAUAGCCCAGAGAAAUUUGGAUUAAUGCCCCAUGGUAUUAUUAAGUGGCAUCAUUUGAUAAUUAAAGUUCCAACGGUAUAAGAUGAGCAUGCGUCCCAUUAGUUAGUUGGUAAGGUAACGGCUUACCAAGACGAUGAUGGGUAGGGGUCCUGAGAGGGAGAUCCCCCACACUGGUACUGAGACACGGACCAGACUCCUACGGGAGGCAGCAGUGAGGAAUAUUGGUCAAUGGAGGCAACUCUGAACCAGCCAUGCCGCGUGCAGGAAGAAGCAUCUAUGGUGUGUAAACUGCUUUUAUACAGGAAGAAACAACGCUACGUGUAGCGUCUUGACGGUAC
rnacentral:rRNA from 1 species